rnacentral:rRNA from 1 species
AUUGAACGCUGGCGGCAGGCCUAACACAUGCAAGUCGAACGAGUGGCGGACGGGUGAGUAAUGUCUGGGAACCUGCCUGAUGGCGGGGGAUAACUACUGGAAACGGUAGCUAAUACCGCAUACCAUCGGAUGUGCCCAGAUGGGAUUAGCUUGUUGGUGGGGUAACGGCUCACCAAGGCGACGAUCCCUAGCUGGUCGGAGAGGAUGACCAGCCACACUGGAACUGAGACACGGUCCAGACUCCUACGGGAGUCAGCAGUGGGGAAUAUUGGACAAGGGACGCAAGCCUGAUGCAGACAUGCCGCGUGUAGGAAGAAGGCCUUCGGGUUGUAAAGUACUUUCAGCGGGGAGGCGUUACCCGCAGAAGAAGCACCGGCUAACUACGUGCCAGCAGCCGCGGUAAUAC